rnacentral:lncRNA from 1 species
AUGGGACGGGGCGGGUCUCAGGGUGUCCAGCGAUCCCGAGGGGGGCACCAGGGGGCCUGGGUCGGGGAGAGGGCAACAGCUGGAGAGGGAGAGCCAGGCCCCAAGCCGGGUGUCCGGGGGCCGGGAGGGGGGGCGGCCUUCCCGGAGCGGGGCCUCACCCCCACCUCGCGGCGGCCGGGCGGGCGCCCCCCGGGGCUGGGCGCUGGGUCCCCGGCGCGCGUCGAGGCUGCACCUGGAGCGCGCCGGGCCGCGCCGCCGGCGCGUCCUCUUCGUCCUCGUCCUCGUCCUCCGCGUCCGCGUCCCCUGGGGCGCCGGCCUCGCCGUCCUCGUCGCCCCCAGCGCUCGCGCCCUCGCCGUCCUCGUCCUCGUCCUCCUCCCAGGUCGAGUCGCAGUCCGGGUCGUCCAUGCUCGGGCGGCGGCGGGACCCGCGCUCCGGCGGAAGCGAAAGUAUGUCCCUGGAGGAUGCUCAUCCCAGAGAAUCACCCCAGAAUGCCCCUGAGGACAACCUCCCCCCAGAGGAAGACGCCUACCUGCUGGAAACCCCCUCCUCCAGAAUAUCCCUCUUCCCAGAGGAUGUUCUCCUGGAGGAAGUCUACCCACCCCCUGGAGGAUGCCCACAGGAGGAUGUCCCUCCACAGGGCUGACCCCAGGAGCAUAACCCCUGGGAGCUGUCCUCCCCAGAAGGGAGGCCCCCCCAGGAUGCGCCCACGCGGGAUGCCCUCCAGGUGUAGGCUGGGGCUGUGGUCUCAUGAGAGGCUCCUCUGGAGAGCAGUCUGCUUCCACGGUCCCCCAGACUGUGGGCAGAAGUCAUUCUCGGGCGGUGGGACACGGAUCCUCGUGUCCCUUCACAGACGGUUCACAACUGGGCAGUUUGCUUCCAUAAGGCCAGCAGGAGGGUCUCUUUCCAGUGUGCCGGGAGUCGUCUGCACCGUCACCGUGGGCCUGGCCUCUGCCCCUUUGCCACAUCCUAUCAGCGUCUCACCUGGCUGGAGCCUGUGUACACACGACCUCACUCUCUAA